CUGGUCCGGUCCGGUGUCUACUGGUUCGCCCUCGGCGGCAGAGGCAAGACCGCAAGAGCGGCGCCGGCGCCCGCUCCCUCCGUGCUCUCCUCUCCCGGCGGCUGCAGCGCAGGGGAUCGACGCCUCCGUGCUCUCCGCUCCCGGCGGCUGCAGCGCAGGGGAUCGACGCCUCCGUGCUCUCCGCUCCCGGCGGCUGCAGCGCAGGGGAUCGACACCAAGCGGCGCCGGCGGCUGCAGACGAAGCCCGCGCCCGCGCCCCCGGCCGCCGUGGUUGAACAAGCAUCCCCAUGGUGAUUCAUGUUGCACUUCCAGCUGGCUGGCUGUGCUGCCGGCACCAUUUGUACAUGACACGCACACGGAUGGCGGCAUUGGUUUUCUCAAUCCAGUGUUGCAUGCGCAGAAGAGAAGCGCCGGCCAGCCACCGGCGCACCGCACAGCAAGGAGGAGGAUGUGAAUCCAGCGCGGCCUAGGCCUAUUGGGUUCAAACCGUUAGCAACUAUGGUUUGGUUUGGGUUGGCUUGCUUUUUGCUCCGGUUUGGAUUGGUUCGGGCUGGAGAAACAUAUUAGUGGGUUGAAAUUGGUUUGGGCUGACUGCACCGUGGCAUUAGUUUGGGGUGGGUUUGGGUUCGGUUGUUCACCCAUUAACAGCCUGACCGGCGACGAGGAUUUGUGGCAAGUUCGCAGAGAUCCUAGGGGCUUCGUUGUAAUUUCUUUUUCUUUCAGGGUCUUCUGUGAAGUUCGGCUGGGACAGCUGUCUCUGUAUCCUUACCGUACGUCUCUGUAUCCGUAUGAGUAUAUGUACGUUUUCCUUAUCUAGAAAUACAAAAAUGUUUUAUCAAAAAAAAACAUAGGAAUGGUCCACCAUUUCUUGGCCGUUUGAUCAGAAUUUUCUGGAAUCACUUUUAACAGCUUAUUCAGAUUACACAAAGAUAAAACAAUAAAUAUAAUAAAAUGGGCACUUAUCAAUGUGCAAAUACAGUUCAAUCCAACCAGGAAAAUUUAUGAGUAAUUACCUCACCAACAACAACAAUAGUUAAGUUAGUGCCUGUUGGAAGAGUCCAUAUGCAGAAAAAAUAUCUUACAAUUAAUAUCCUUCCUGCUAGUAGCAUCACAUACAGUUCAAGAUUUGUUAGAUAACCCUGAUUGAGCAUUCACAUCCACAUGGUCGAGGUUGCUUCUCAAAGUCCUCACUUGCUAGGCGUAAAAUAGAGCCAUCUGCAUUACGAGCCCUCAGUACCAUCAUCCUAAUAAAAGUAGGAUGUCAAAGACCGUUUAAUCCAAAAGUUAUAGCCAGUCAUGAACACGCAGAAAAAAGAUGCGGUGAUGCUUAGAUGCUCAAUAGUAUAUAGUACUGUGGGCAUUUAUUUUUUUAAGAAAAAAGGACACACAUAUGAAUAGAAUGGUCAAGAGAAAUUCUAUAGGAUUUUGCAAUGGUGAAAUCUAUCAUAUCUUGACAUCCAUCGAUGUAAUAGGUUUUUCAUCUAGUAUGCACAGAGAAUCUGAAGCGCACUAAGGAGGCAAUGCAAUCUGUAGAGGCUGCUUCAACAGCACCAUCUUCCACAUCUAAGAAUUGUACGAAACAUGAUGGAAUGCAUCAUGCAUCUGAUUCAGAAAAGCCUUGGAUGAGUUUCUUUUUAAAAUUAUCAAGACAUUAGAGAGCCAUCAUAGUAGAAUUUAGAUUAAUUUAUUUAUUUUCUUGAUAGCUUAUGGUUUUCGUAGCAUCAUGCUGUUGCCUUUGUUUUCUGGCUAUAAACUUAAUGAACUCUCUUGUUACACAAAUCUUUCAGACAGCCAAUCUGAAUGGCAGAAAAGGGUGUCUGUCCUAGUUACUUGUCCUAUUUACUGGCUAGCUUAUUCAGUGCAAUUUUCGACACCAUUGCUGAUGCUGAGUUAGCUUACAGCAAGGAGAAAAUGUCAGAAUGUCAGAUGCCAAAGCCUGGCAGUCAGCAUGAUGCUAUGAAAACCAUAAGCUAUCAAGAAAAUAAUUAAAUUAAUCUAAAUUCUACUAUGAUGGCCUGUAAUGUCUUGAUAAUUUUAAAAAGAAACUCAUCCAAGACUAUAAACUUAACAAACUCUCUUGUUAGACUAUUCUUUCAGACAGCUAAUCUGAAUGGCAGAAAAGGGUGUCUGUCCUAGUUACUGGCUAGCUUAUUCAGUGCAAUUUUGGACACCAUUGCUGAUGCUGAGUUAGCUUACAGCAAGGAGUAAAGUCAGAAUGUCAGAUGCUAAAGCCUGGCAGUUUUCAAAAACCUGAAUGCAAUGGUAUUGUCUGAAACCUACAGCUCUUUUCGUGCAAAUGUUUUUUUUCAGUGAUCUACAAAAUCAGUACCUUAUACCAAACAGAUCUACAAAACAAACAAUGGUUGAUUCCAUAUUUUAUAUGGUAAUGGUAAAAACAGCAAAGAGAAUGGUUUGAGGCUAACACUGCAAUGCUGGAACUCUGUAGAGGAACCGUUAAGGCACCGGCCAAUCUGCUUAAAAAGGUGGCACCAUGCAAUGCUGAAACUCUGCAGAGGUUAUGUCGCCUCAAGCACUUCUUCUAGGUCUCCCAGAAACAACACAUACUUCAGGAAUUUUUAGUCCUUCUCAACGAACUGAACAAUACAAUAGGAUAGCAUGGUCAGAAGGUGCACAAGAUAUUUCAUUGCCCAAUGCAAAAAUGUAAGUAGAUGACAUGGUUAUUUUCUAGCACUCAGUUUGCAGUAAUUUUGUGUUUGUUAAGUGGGUUGUUCAUUUGUACAUUUUUUCCUAGCACUAAUUGUUUUUUAGCACCUGA